rnacentral:rRNA from 1 species
UUCCGGGAGGCAUCAGCAGGGAAUCUUGCGCAAUGGGUCAAAGCCUGACUCAUGGCCGCAGCGUGGGGGAUGAAUGCCUUCGGGUUGUAAACCCCUUUCAGGAGGGAAGAAAAUGUCGGUACCUCCAAAAAAAGAUCCGGCCAACUACGUCCAGCAUCCGCGGUUAGACCUAGGGGGCGAACGUUGUCCGGAAUCCUUGGGUGUAAAGGGCUCGUAGGCGGCUCUGUAAGUCGAUCGUGAAAUCCCGGAGGUCAACUCCGGAAUUGCGGUCGAUACUACCCUGGCUAGAGUCAGGUAGAGGAUAGUAGAAUUCCCCGUGUAGCGGUGGAAUGCCCAGAUAUCGGGAGGAAUACCAUUUAGCGAAGGCGGCUCUCUGGGCCUGUACUUUCCCCGAGGAACGAAAGCGUGGGUAGCAAACAGGAUUAGAUUCCCUGGUAGUC